CCCAAUUAUUCAAUUUUUGAUGAAAUCAAACAAAGUUUAAUUUUGGACCCUUUGGGCCCCUUAUUCCUAAACUGUAGGGACCAAAACUCCCAAAAUAAUCCCCCAACCUUCCUUUUAUGGUCAUAAACCUUGUGUUUAAAUUUCAUAGAUUUCUAUUUACUUAUACUAAAGUUAUGGUGCGAAAACCAAGAAAAAUGCUUAUUUGGGCCCCUUUUUGGCUCUUAAUUCCAAAACCUUUGGGAUCUCAACUACCAAAAUCAAUCCCAACCUUCCUUUUGUGUUCAUAAACCUUGUGUUUAAAUUUCAUUGAUUUCUAUUUACUUAUACUAAAGUUAUUGUGCGAAAACCAAAAAUAAUGCUUAUUUGGGUCCUUUUUUGGCCCCUAAUUCCUAAACAGUUGGAACCAAAACUCCCAAAAUCAAUCCCAACCUUCCUUUU
rnacentral:lncRNA from 1 species